GACAUGGAUCGAACGGCCCCCCAUGCUUCCUAUACUGAUGUCUAAUUAUCACUUAAGAUCAGUGCAUCAUUGCUUUUUGCAGAAGAAAAGAAGAGAAAGUAAAUGGCAAGUGUUCUUGGCCUUUUGCGGCCCCGAUGCUCGAUUUGGCUUGGCUGCUUACCUCUACAUCAGCCUUGUGGCUGCAAGAAUCAGAGUGUUUGACAAUAAUGAUCCAUUCCUCAUAGGUAAAGAUGUUGAUCACGAGAUUCGCAAUACUAUUGAGAGCUUCAAGAUAUCCAUUCCGAUUCUCUCUGAAACUUAUGCCAAAUCUAGAUGGUGCCUUGACAAGCUAGCUCAAAUGGUUGAAUGCAAAAAGGAAAGCGGCAAAAGAUAUUGCCUAUCUUCUAUAAAGUGACAACUUCACACGCGUGGGAUCGUUUUCCAGAAGACAUGCUUCAACUUCCACUUAAGGAGUCGACUGAUGGAUAUAUUUAUGAGGCGUGGGCGCGAGCUCUCAAGGAGGUUGAGUCCUCCAGUAUCCAACAAUAUCAACAAUGGGCAUGAAGGGGUACCUGUGAAACUGGUCGUCAAAGAGGUUCCGAGGUUGUUGAACGAUCCCCAAACAAGUCCCUUCUCCAAGCACAUCUCCCGUAUGUGAUUCCUAUUUAAUAAGAGUAAUUUUUUCGAUGACUAAGCGUGCCCUCGUUUAUUAUUCGUCAUGUGCAUUGACUUUCUAAAG